GGCAUUUUUGUGCAUGCAAGACCGGCCUCCGCAAUGAUCUUAAGAUGUCACUGCGGCGUUUACAUCUUUUAUUUCAAGGUUUAAAUAACUGGGAAGUAGCUAAUGUAAUUCACUGCUGAGAAGAAAGGCAAGCUUCUUGAUUCCUUUCCAAAGCCAUCUCUUCCUAAUGAACUUCUUUGGACUGAAAGUUCCAGUCAUCUCCAUCUGUAAGUGCAACUUCCACACCAAGAGGACUUGACUCCCUGAAGAAGACAUGACCUUCAUGCUGUGACUUGUUGUCAAAGUGUACCCCCCUCCCCCGUGCCCCGUCAGAUGUCUCGGAUGACAUCAGGCAGUGAGGCGUUUUCUCUGGUUUGCACUAUGCACUAGCCCCUAGGGACAUCAUUUUUUUGGCUUUUAUCCAGAAGGAAUGAACAGUAAAUAGAUGAAGAAGUAUAUUAGGCUGAACUGCUGACAUUUGUAUGCAGGGCAGUAAAUGUUUGUAGAUGAAGAGCAGGAAAGGAUUUUUUCAUAAAUGCUUUUGUGACGGAUUUUAUACUAAAUCAUUUCUUGACAUUUCGACUAAAACCAACAGCUUAGAUAAUGGAUCUGAUGUUCAUACCGUGCAUAUACUCUGGUUUGAUAAAUCCUCCGCUACGAGGACCUCCAGGAGGCUGGAUUCCCUCUGGACUGGGAGAAGAUUGUCUGUGGAAUAAAUUAACUGGCUCGGGGGAGGUUGGGGGGGACCUCAGAAGGUUGUGCAGGGUUGGGCUCCAGCUCAAACCCUGCUGGGCCCUGUGCUGGGGCUCAAUUAGUGCUCUCCUUGGGUUUUAAGUUUGGGGCUGGACCCUGCUAAAUAAACUCAGUCAUAGCAAUGGC